rnacentral:lncRNA from 1 species
UGCCAACAGGAACAUUCUUGACAUCUUCCACAAAAACCACUUCCCGAAGAGACCACUGCUCUUCAUUCACCUUUUCCUCUUCUUUUGGUGCAGGGGUUGACCGUCGUCGUUCUUAGACAACAACAAAAUGGGAUAGGGCAAUGUCCCCCACGGUGAUAAGGCCUGGAUGAGCCAAUUACACCCCUACAGGCCCUGAAAACCCACUAUGGACAAAUGAAGAUGAAU